rnacentral:tRNA from 1 species
GUGUUUGUAGUUUAAAAAAAACGUUAGGUUUUCGACUUAAAGAUAUGGUUUACAUUGGACAAU